AAAAUUAAUAUGUAUAAAAAUCGGAAUUAAAUUCCAAGUCAUUUCCUGAAUUUCUUAAUUAAUGAGAUGUCGUUGAACCGUUGCGAACGAUUUAAAGUUUCACCGAGCGAGAGAAAGAGAGAGAGAGAGAGAGAGAGAGAUUUCUAAUUUUUUAAAUUAAAAUCGAAACUAAAUUCGAAAAAAGUGAAGAACUCCCCUCUGCCCCAACGAGAUUUUAAUUUAAAAUUAUAGUCGAAGAAAACAACAUUGAAGUCGAGAUAAAAUUAAGUGUAUCGAAAAUGUUUUGAUGCUUCGAUUAGUCUAUGAAAAUUGACAAUCUGCAUAAUUACGGUUAUCGUGUAAAAACUUGAAAUAAAGGAAUGAAUUGAUACAACCAUGAUAGAAGGGAUAACAUGGUGUGUGCAGUUGGGGAUAUCUCUUCUAAAUCUCUGGCCUCUCUGUCUAUGGACUGUUCAUAAGGAGAAAGCUACCAACUGUGAAACGCUGAACAUGGGACAUGGGAUUCAUAAUCCGUUUUUAUUUUAAAACUGUUUCAAAUAUAAUGUCUUAAGAUGUAUUUUAAGAUGCCAAUGCGGCUAUCUGAUUGAUUCGUGACUUCUUAAGACUAUAUAUUAUACUUACGGUCUUGAAUAUAAGAUCUACGAAUAUCGGCAUAUUAGAGUUAUAUUUGUAUUUUCAUUUUUUUUUCUACACUGUAAAGCCUCAGAUACAUUGCGAAGGAAUAGCGAUAGUGAUAGAAAUAACACGAUUUCAACUUAUCAGAAACUGUAUAUUCCAAUGUAUCUGAUUUCUGAUGGAUUGAAAUCGUGU